CUACGGGGUGCUCCAGUGGGGAAUCUUGGACAAUGGGCGCAAGCCUGAUCCAGCCAUGCCGCGUGAGUGAUGAAGGCCUUAGGGUCGUAAAGCUCUUUCGCCAGAGAUGAUAAUGACAGUAUCUGGUAAAGAAACCCCGGCUAACUCCGUGCCAGCAGCCGCGGUAAUACGGAGGGGGUUAGCGUUGUUCGGAAUUACUGGGCGUAAAGCGCGCGUAGGCGGACUAGUCAGUCAGGGGUGAAAUCCCGGGGCUCAACCCCGGAACUGCCUUUGAUACUGCUAGUCUAGAGUUCGAGAGAGGUGAGUGGAAUUCCGAGUGUAGAGGUGAAAUUCGUAGAUAUUCGGAGGAACACCAGUGGCGAAGGCGGCUCACUGGCUCGAUACUGACGCUGAGGUGCGAAAGUGUGGGGAGCAAACAGGAUUAGAUACCCUGGUAGUC
rnacentral:rRNA from 1 species